GUAGAAGUUUAUGUCACUUGGUUUACUAACAUCGUCAUCAUGAAGCUGUUGAUGCUGCUGGCGCUCGCCACCGCCAUGGUGGCCGUUCAGGCUUCCAGGGAGAGGGGUGAAUGCCACGAACUGAUGCACGAUGUGAUGCACAAGGAAAACAUGACGGAAAUCAUAGGAACCUGUAUGGAGGAAAAUGGAAUCGUCCCUGACC
rnacentral:lncRNA from 1 species